UACGUAGGGUGCGAGCGUUGUCCGGAAUUAUUGGGCGUAAAGGGCUCGUAGGCGGUCUGUCGCGUCGGGAGUGAAAACUCAGGGCUUAACCCUGAGCCUGCUUCCGAUACGGGCAGACUAGAGGUAUGCAGGGGAGAACGGAAUUCCUGGUGUAGCGGUGGAAUGCGCAGAUAUCAGGAGGAACACCGAUGGCGAAGGCGGGUCUCUGGGCGAUUACUGACGCUGAGGAGCGAAAGCGUGGGGAGCGAACAGGAUUAGA
rnacentral:rRNA from 1 species